ACACCCAAGGCUAGAAGGAAGAGAAUUCUAGGUUUCACCUAGAAAGAUGUGCGCUGAACACCAUUCACUGUGCCUACAUUUUCCAAAACUAUCAUAAUUUAACCUUUAAAAG